UUAGAGUUUGAUUCCUGGCUCAGAACGAACGCUGGCGGCAUGCCUAACACAUGCAAGUCGAACGAGACCUUCGGGUCUAGUGGCGCACGGGUGCGUAACGCGUGGGAAUCUGCCCUUGGGUUCGGAAUAACUCGCCGAAAGGCGUGCUAAUACCGGAUGAUGUCGCAAGACCAAAGAUUUAUCGCCCAAGGAUGAGCCCGCGUAGGAUUAGGUAGUUGGUGAGGUAAAGGCUCACCAAGCCGACGAUCCUUAGCUGGUCUGAGAGGAUGAUCAGCCACACUGGGACUGAGACACGGCCCAGACUCCUACGGGAGGCAGCAGUGGGGAAUAUUGGACAAUGGGCGAAAGCCUGAUCCAGCAAUGCCGCGUGAGUGAUGAAGGCCUUAGGGUUGUAAAGCUCUUUUACCCGGGAUGAUAAUGACAGACCGGGAGAAUAAGUCCGCAA
rnacentral:rRNA from 1 species